rnacentral:rRNA from 1 species
ACGUAGGGGGCGAGCGUUGUCCGGAAUUACUGGGCGUAAAGCGCGCGCAGGCGGUUUUGUAGGUCGGUCGUGAAAUGGACGGGCUCAACCCGUGCAGGUCGGUCGAUACCGCGAGACUGGAGUAUGAGAGAGGGAAGCGGAAUUCCCGGUGUAGCGGUGAAAUGCGUAGAUAUCGGGAGGAACGCCGGUGACGAAGGUGGCUUCCUGGCUCAUGACUGACGCUGAGGCGCGAAAGCCGGGGGAGCGAACGG